UAAAUACUACAAAUUACUGAGUAAGAUUUCUAUAGUUUGACUUAGUUAUUUUCUCAUAUUUGGAAAGUUUUCUCAUAUGUGGCAUAACUGUUUGCUUGUGCAGUUUAGGUGUGAUUCAAGUGAUGUAUGUCUUCAGUGAGGGUACCAGAGGUGACGAACAGGAUACCAGUUUUUAUCCGAAAUGAUCUCAGGAAGGUUGAAAAGAAAACAUGAUGAUGAUGUGUAGAAGUAGAGUGUAAGGUUACCUUACUAUUAACUCUGAAUGUAAACUUUGAACAUAUAUUUCUGACUUCAUGUAACAUUUUAUUUACAGGCCAUCCAUGACAAAGAUGUCUUGAUGAAUGACAGAAAAAUCAAACAAUGCCAUUGACCUUGAUUAAAACCAGUAUUAGCUGUCACUUCUGAAUAAGGAUCCUGUGUGAAAAGUCAUGAUUUCACCUCUACCCCUAACCCGGAUGUAUGUAAUCCAUGUUGGUGACACAUUUUGACAGCUAUCUCCAGAAACUGCCCAACAUGCUGUGUUGAAACUUUUAUAUUUUGCUUCUCAGAUGUUGGUCUUGGCCAGGCAGUCACACCAUUGAACAACUGGCUGGUGAGAGUUAACAGCUUCAGUGUUCUCCCGGCAGAUUACCGAGGAAACUUCCCAAACAUCAGGUCUACCAACACUGUAUUCUUGUCUCGUGAUGUUAAAUAUCGUAUGGAGAGAAGUUCUUCCUUUAAGAUUUUGAAUGCGUCCUGAAGCUUCGAUCGAGAGGAUACAUGUAAUAAAGACUACCAAAUUACAAGUCAGAAAAGGUGCUUCCUCUUCCCUCAGAUACAACUGCCUUGGACAAAGUAUGACACCCUGGCCUGUUGACAUGAAGUUUUGACGACAAAUGAUGAUGGGAAGAAAUAAGUAUUGGAGGAAUAUAGCAGCCAUGUCAACCAGGUCAACCAGGUCAAUCAGGUCAACCAUGUCAAACAACAGAGAGAUGUAUACAGACAACAAUCUUCAGAAAGUAAAGAAAAGUUCAGGUUACUGCCAGAAAGAAAAGAAAAUAUCAGGUAAUUUAACAAUGACUUAAGUAAAAAUUUUCGAAUUGCAAAUAAAUACCUUAAAAGAUGUUAUAUCCCGGGGGCCUUUCUAUUUUGUGUGUAUUUUUGCUAGUUAUUUGAGAGUUCAAGUGCUGUAAAUUAACCAAUUCAAUACAAACACAUAAAAGAUUAUCCAUGUUUGAAUUUAUCUUCACACCCUAAACAUAUUGUUGAAAAAUAUGGAACAGAAUGUUCAUGUACAUUAUGUAUUAACUAUCUUUUUUAACAUUAUGAAAGAACAUGCCAUCGUGUAUCGCUUAAUUAUCCCUUCACGACGAAAGUCGGGGAGGGGAUAUAGCUUUCCGUUCGUACGUAGGUACGUAAGUACGUACGUAUGUAUGUUCACUUUUUGUCAGCUGACCAAACUUCAUAUAUGGGUCCAGCAUGGGAAUACCUCGAACGAGCUUGUGUUUCUGGGUGCCAAGGUCAAGGUCAAGGCCACUGAGAUUUUUACUAAUAAAUAUGUUGGUUACUAACAUGUUAUAUCUAAUAUUUCCUUUGUUCAGUUGACAGUUUUCAACCUACAGCAGACUGUUUCACAUUUUGGAAGUUCCUAGAUGGUUAUUAUAACCAGAAUUGUUACAUAUUACAGACUCAGUCCACUGUAAAUUAUUUUGUAUGAUAGUUGGACUUCAGUUGAAUCUGUAAAAACCAAUAAGGUAUGGCUUUGUAGUAAUUACAAUGAAAUGAAAUUCACCAAAUGAACAAUAAAUCCAGUUCCAAUUGAAUUGAAAUAUGUAAUUUAUGAACUUAGAAAAUCAUAAUUGAACAUUAUUUAAAAAAUCUUAACACCAACAAUGUCAAUUUAACUAUUUUAAUUUUAAUUUUAAAAUAAAAAGAAUUUGAUACAAACAUAUAAUUAUUUAAUUACCAGAUAUACAAAGGUUUUAAUACAAACAUAUAAUUAUUUAAUUACCAGAUAUACAAAGGUUUUAAUACAAACAUAUAAUUAUUUAAUUACCAGAUAUACAAAACCUUUUUAAACAAAAAUGAUAUUCAUAUUAUUUUGUGAAGUUGCAUCAUUUUAAUGCAAUUUAACUAAGUCUUUCAUAAUGUUUAUUUCUCAAUUUUGGUUGUGAUUUCCAGGCAGACUGGUGAGGGACUUACUCCUCAAGACCUUCUGGUAUCCCUUGGAUGGAAUGAUGUCCUCAGAAAUUGCUUCUCAAAGAUUGCACAUCUGGUUGAACUGUUGAAUAUUGUACCAACAUCAACAGCUUCGGUGGAAAGGGGGUUCAGCCUGAUGAAAGGGCUAUGUACACCCCUUAGGAGUUGCUUGGGGCAGGGCCAUUUAACCAAUUUGAUGCUGAUUUGUCUGGAAGGUCCUGCAGAGCUGUCCGAUGAGGCCCUAUAGACUCCCUUGUUCUUACAUUUAGGAAUAAAAAGUCAAGGCAUCUGCCUUUAUAGACAAUAUAGAGAACAUUGUCAAAAUUAAACAAAAUAUGCAAAGGA